rnacentral:lncRNA from 1 species
GAAAUUAUGGGCAGUAUCUGGGAAACUCACUGUAUGGACUGGGAAUUUCACAUUAGAUGUAUCCCAUUCCUCUCCUUUUGAAGUACAUCUACAUAAUAAUCUGACUUAUUUUGCUUCUGCAUGUGUUAAAUUCCCUUAUUCUCUUAUCAUUGAAAACUGGGAAUGGAAUGUAACUUGGGGAACAAUAUCAUGUAUAGACUGUUAUCUUACUCAAUGUGUAUAUAGAACUAAUUGAGAAUUAAUAGAAAUUAAUAAUUAUUCUUUAGUUAUUGUUAAAGCUCACACAGAAUUGUGGGUGCCUGUUAAUUUGACUCAUCCUUGCUCUGAUUCAUUGUCUGUUACUCAUUUGUACAAUGCUGUUCAAGUUUUGUUACAUCGCUCUCUACGAUUAAUAGAAAUAGUUAUAGCUUCAUUCCUUGCAGUUGCUUCUAUAACUGCCACUGCUACAGUAGCUGGGGUUGCUUCACAUCAAGACAUUCAAACUGCGAAUUUCGUGAGAACAUGGCAUCAAGAUGCUCAUUUAUUAUGGCAACAACAAAAGGACUUAAACUCUCAAUUGGCUACAGAUGUGAUCAAUUUACAACAUACUGUUUCCUGGCUUGGCGAUCAAGUGACUAUCUUGGCUACCAGAAGUGUUCUGAAGUGUGACUGGAAUUCUUCUCAUAUUUGUGUGACUCCUGUGCCAUAUAAUACCAGUGAUUCCUGGGAAACUGUUAAAAGACGGUUAAAUGGACAUCAAAUUUAACUUUAGAAAUUAUGAAUUUGGAAAAAACUAUUAUGGACACCUUUAGUAAGACAUUACCUGAACUAACAGGAUCUGACAUUUUACAAAAAUUGUCUUCAAGUAUUGCUAAUUUAAAUCCCUUAAGUCAUUUCUCUACCUUGUUGUCAACUUCUUUAGGUAACACUGGAAUAAUUUUUGUUUUGUGUUUUGUUUUGUAUAUAGUCUUCCAACGCUGGAAAAAGCGAAGGCAACUGAAACAUGAAACCUCUCUUUUCGCUUCUGCUAUGGCUCUUUUACAAAAACAAAAGGAGGGAAAUGUAGAGAAUCAGAUGUGACUGUGUUACUAUUACUGUCCUUGAUGGAGUCUGCCUGCAAACGGGAUAUUCUGUCAAGGUAUAGAUAGGUAACAGCGGACAUGCUUGAAAACGAGGUGUCUGCUGUCCUUGGGAGGGCCUACUUGCAAACGAGAGGCUCCUUCAAGGUUUAGAUAAGGUAACUGCGGACAUGCUUGAAAACAAGGUGUCUGCUGUCCUUGGGAGGACUUGCCUGCAAACGGGAUGUUCUGCCAAGUGGGCUAGGAGGGCGCUGAGAAAAAUUUUAUUAUCUGUUCUUAACAAAGAGCAGAGCUCAACAUACUCCGGGCCGAGAAUAGAUUAGCCAUGAGAAGCGGGUCACUUCUGAUUAGAAAGUAAAACUUCUGUAUGCUAUGUUUAAUUAGCUGAAAGACCUGAUUUAUUGAUGUUGGAAGGCUGCCUUCUUUGUUCACAAUACUAUAAAAAGAUUGCUUGUACACAAUAAAGGACUUUUUUUCUGCUGCUGCUUUGCUUGCUCUGCUUCUUCUUUCUUUUCCCAUGCUGACCUGCAAGUGAAUUACUGCAACA